UAUGACCAUAUCACAUUGAAACACCAGUUCUCAUAUGAUCACAAAAGUUAAGCAAUGUCAAGCCUGGUUAGUACCUAGAUGGGUGACAGCUUGGGAAUGCCAGGUGCUGUAAG
rnacentral:rRNA from 1 species